rnacentral:lncRNA from 1 species
GUUGUUGCAUCUCCUUCUUGUUGCCCGAUGACGCGACAAUAUCCACUCUACGCCACUGAGCUCACCAGAUUUGGUCUUAGGCCGUCUAGAUUUAGCCCCUGGCUUGCUAGAUCUAUGUGAUAGCAGUGAUGGUGGAUGCAUCUCAAAUAUAAUAAAAGAUUAGGCUCCUCUUAUCCCCUCUAUCAUGUUUGUUCUUUAGCAGCCGGAGCUUUGGGGCCAAAACAAGGCCUCAUGAAACCUUCCCACGAUAAAAGGAGUCCCUUU